GAUGAACGCUGGCGGUAUGCUUAACACAUGCAAGUCGAACGGACUCUUCGGAGUUAGUGGCGGACGGGUGAGUAACGCGUGAGAAUCUGGCUUUGGGUUCGGGACAACCACUGGAAACGGUGGCUAAUACCGGAUGUGCCGAGAGGUAAAAGAGAAAUGGCCUGAAGAUGAGCUCGCGUCUGAUUAGCUAGUUGGUGAGGUAAAGGCUCACCAAGGCAGCGAUCAGUAGCUGGUCUGAGAGGAUGACCAGCCACACUGGGACUGAGACACGGCCCAGACUCCUACGGGAGGCAGCAGUGGAGAAUUUUCCGCAAUGGGCGAAGGCCUGACGGAGCACUACCGCGUGAGAGAAGAAGGCUCUUGGGUUGUAAACCUCUUUUCUUAGGGAAGAACAAAAUGACGGUACCUAAGGAAUCAGCAUCGGCUAACUCCGUG
rnacentral:rRNA from 1 species